rnacentral:rRNA from 1 species
UACGAAGGGGACUAGCGUUGUUCGGAAUUACUGGGCGUAAAGCGCACGUAGGCGGAUUUGUAAGUCAGGGGUGAAAUCCCGGGGCUCAACCUCGGAACCGCCUUUGAUACUGCAAAUCUCGAGUCCGAUAGAGGUGGGUGGAAUUCCUAGUGUAGAGGUGAAAUUCGUAGAUAUUAGGAAGAACACCGGUGGCGAAGGCGGCCCACUGGAUCGGUACUGACGCUGAGGUGCGAAAGCGUGGGGAGCAAACAGG